GCCGAUGUGGCGGAACUGGCAGACGCGCACGACUCAAAAUCGUGUUCCCUUGCGGGAGUGUGGGUUCGACUCCCACCAUCGGCAUCA
rnacentral:tRNA from 1 species